GGCUCAGCCGCUGGCACCCCCACCGCCACCACCCUAGUCUCCUAGUCGCCUGCCACCAGCCCCUGAGAGACUGCAGGUCCAGUGAAAAGGAGCCGGAACGGCAGCAGCCCGGCCGCCGACCCGGAAGCUCUUCCACCGCCAACCGCGAGGCUGCAAAGGGUGUGAACCCGGAAGCGAUUUCAUAGCCACGGAAGCUGGGCCGGGCUGCUGUGCCUGGGAGGCGGGAAGGAGGAAUGAGAAAGCGGUGACGGUCCCUGCCCCUGCUCGCCAGGUGACUGUCCCACCCAUUUAGUUGAAUGUAGCGGCCAGAGAGGCACUCGCGGCAGCACGUACGGGUGGGACCUCUCGGUGUCCUUCGGGAAACAGGAGGAGCAAGUUCGACUCCAGCGAGGGAAAACAGAGCCUCACCAGAAGUCUUUCAUCUCGGUGGUCCAACUCAGGAUCUCAGCCUCAUUAUUUUCUUACCCUUCUGGAGUGCAUAUGUGCCUUUACAGUUUCUGUUUGCAAACGCUGUCUAGCAUACUAAGAGGAUGUUAGCAAACCUGUUCCAUGGACACUAAAUGGCAGUUGUACAUCUCCCCUCAUCAGUCAUAGUGACAACCAGAAAUGCCCUCCAUAUUUUCCAGUGAUCCCAGUCUUCAAUGCGUCUGUCUCAUAAUUUGUAAACGUUUAUUAUCUUGAAGUCAUUGUUAAUCUGUGGUGAAAAGUAAUUGCUAAAUAGAAAUUCUGAGAAGAAAAAGGCCUCAUCCUUUUCACAUGAUGUAGGAAGGUCUGUUACAUGAGCAAUGGGAAAUCCAGAAAACAUAGAAGAUGCAUAUGUUGCUGUUAUUCGUCCAAAGAAUACUGCCAGUCUCAAUUCUCGGGAAUACAGAGCUAAGUCAUAUGAAAUUUUGUUGCAUGAAGUUCCCAUUGAAGGACAGAAAAAAAAGAGAAAGAAAGUUUUAUUGGAAACGAAACUUCAAGGCAACAGUGAAAUAACACAAGGCAUAUUGGAUUACGUAGUAGAAACCACCAAACCAAUUUCUCCUGCAAACCAGGGUAUCAGAGGAAAACGAGUUGUACUAAUGAAAAAAUUUCCUCUGGAUGGAGAGAAGAUGGGCAGAGAAGCGUCAUUAUUUAUUGUUCCAUCAGUUGUCAAAGAUAAUACUAAAUACACAUAUACCCCAGGAUGCCCAAUUUUUUACUGCUUACAAGAUAUUAUGCGAGUCUGUAGUGAAUCCAGUACUCAUUUUGCUACACUUACAGCAAGGAUGUUAAUAGCCUUGGAUAAGUGGUUAGAUGAACGUCAUGCACAAUCUCACUUUAUUCCAGCUUUAUUCCGACCUUCUCCUCUUGAGCGGAUAAAAACUAAUGUCAUAAAUCCUGCAUAUGCUACUGAAUCAGGUCAGACAGAAAACUCACUACAUAUGGGCUAUAGUGCACUAGAAAUAAAGAGUAAAAUGUUAGCCCUAGAGAAAGCAGAUACCUGUAUUUACAACCCUUUGUUUGGAUCAGAUCUUCAGUAUACAAAUCGGGUAGAUAAAGUGGUAAUAAAUCCAUACUUUGGUCUAGGAGCUCCAGACUACUCAAAAAUCCAAAUACCUAAACAGGAAAAAUGGCAGAGAAGCAUGAGCAGUGUCACAGAAGACAAGGAACGACAGUGGGUAGAUGAUUUUCCUCUCCACCGAAGCGCCUGUGAAGGAGAUUCAGAAUUACUAAGCCGUCUUCUCAGUGAAAGAUUUUCAGUCAACCAAUUAGAUAGUGACCACUGGGCACCCAUUCAUUAUGCAUGCUGGUAUGGAAAAGUUGAGGCCACUCGCAUAUUGUUAGAGAAAGGAAAGUGCAAUCCAAACCUUUUAAAUGGACAACUUAGUUCUCCUCUUCAUUUUGCUGCUGGAGGAGGACAUGCUGAAAUAGUACAGAUUCUCCUAAACCACCCAGAAAUUGAUAGACAUAUAACAGACCAACAAGGAAGAUCUCCAUUAAAUAUUUGUGAAGAAAACAAACAAAACAACUGGGAAGAAGCUGCAAAAUUGUUGAAGGAAGCAAUUAACAAACCAUAUGAAAAAGUUCGAAUAUACAGAAUGGAUGGGUCAUAUCGUUCUGUUGAAUUAAAGCAUGGAAAUAAUACCACAGUGCAGCAGAUAAUGGAAGGAAUGCGUCUCUCUCAAGAAACUCAGCAAUAUUUCACUAUAUGGAUUUGUUCAGAAAACCUCAGCCUUCAACUCAAACCAUAUCAUAAACCCUUGCAACAUGUUCGUGACUGGCCAGAAAUACUUGCUGAAUUGACUAAUCUGGAUCCUCAAAGGGAAACACCUCAGCUUUUUCUAAGAAGAGAUGUGAGACUUCCUUUGGAAGUUGAAAAACAGAUUGAAGACCCACUAGCUAUUCUUAUUCUCUUUGAUGAAGCCAGAUAUAAUUUGUUGAAGGGCUUUUAUACAGCUCCUGAUGCUAAGCUGAUAACAUUGGCAAGUCUGCUUUUGCAAAUAGUCUAUGGAAAUUAUGAGAGUAAAAAACACAAGCAAGGUUUCCUAAAGUUAAAAAUUACGUUACUGAAAGCCAUUUGUAACAGAAUGAUUACUAUACUUUAGCUACUAAAGAUGAUUUAUUUAAAGGAUGUUGGCAUGUGUGCUUACAGUGAAGAAAAUCUAAAAUCCAUCGUACCUGUUACCAAACUGAAAAGUAAGGCACCUCACUGGACAAAUCGCAUACUUCAUGAAUACAAGAAUCUCAGUACAAGUGAAGGUGUCAGUAAAGAAAUGCAUCACCUUCAGCGCAUGUUCUUACAGAAUUGCUGGGAAAUUCCUACUUAUGGAGCAGCAUUUUUCACAGGACAGAUAUUUACAAAGGCAAGCCCCAGCAAUCAUAAAGUCAUCCCUGUGUAUGUAGGAGUGAAUAUAAAAGGACUUCAUCUCCUCAACAUGGAAACUAAGGCUUUACUCAUCAGUCUUAAGUAUGGUUGUUUUAUGUGGCAAUUGGGAGAUACUGAUACUUGUUUUCAGAUCCAUAGCAUGGAAAAUAAAAUGAGCUUUAUAGUACAUACAAAACAGGCUGGUCUCGUGGUAAAACUGUUAAUGAAGCUAAAUGGACAGUUAAUGCCCACUGAAAGAAAUUCAUGAAAGAGAAGUAACUGUUACUCAAGCCACCACAUUUUGUAAUGCAGAGUUUUUUUUCCGUGAAAGAUUUCUUAAAAUAUUACUUUUGGCCGAGCAUGGUGGCUCACCCCUGUAAUUCCAGCACUUUGGGAGGCUGGGGCAGGCGGAUCACCUGAAGUCAGAGUUCAAGACCAGCCUGGCCAACAUGGUGAAACCCUGUCUCUACAAAAAUACAAAAAUUAGCUGGGUGUGGUGGCGGGCGCCUAUAAUCCUAGCUACUAGGGAGGCCAAGGUGGGAGAUCGCUUAAACCCAGGAGGUGGAGGUUGUAGUGAGCCAAGAUUGCACCACGGCACACUAGCCUGGGUGACACAGCAAGACUCCAUCUCAAAAAAAAAAAAAAUUACUUUCAACAAGGCAUAUAGUCUCUUGUAAUAUAUAUGUAUACUAUUACAUUGUACAGAAUCUGUACUUAUGUUUGGUGUGUAAUAUACCAAUUAGUUUUAUAUAAUAUCCUCAUAAGCUAUUCUAAUUUUUGAGAGAAACACAAAAAGUUAUAGAUUGAUAGUCUGUAUAAUAUUAGACAAAAUAGUAAGCUUUAUAAAAAGUUAUUUUUGGUAAAUGGUAAAGAAUUUGGAGUGGAAUGUGAUGAGAUUAAAAUGUAGCUUUGGUAUAACUUCAUGUGUAUUUCAAAAUAUACUGAACGUCAACAUGAUUCGAAUAAAGAAAAUGUAUUUUCUACUUGAA